AUUGAACGCUGGCGGCAUGCUUUACACAUGCAAGUCGAACGGUAACAGGCCCCAAGGUGCUGACGAGUGGCGAACAGGUGAGUAAUGCAUCGGAACGUGCCCAGUCGUGGGGGAUAACUACUCGAAAGAGUAGCUAAUACCGCAUACGAUCUAUGGAUGAAAGCGGGGGACCGUAAGGCCUCGCGCGAUUGGAGCGGCCGAUGUCAGAUUAGGUAGUUGGUGGGGUAAAGGCUCACCAAGCCAACGAUCUGUAGCUGGUCUGAGAGGACGACCAGCCACACUGGGACGGAGACACGGCCCAGACUCCUACGGGAGGCAGCAGUGGGGAAUUUUGGACAAUGGGCGCAAGCCUGAUCCAGCAAUGCCGCGUGCAGGAAGAAGGCCUUCGGGUUGUAAACUGCUUUUGUACGGAACGAAACGGCUCUGGUUAAUACCCGGGGCUAAUGACGGUACCGUAAGAAUAAGCACCGGCUAACUACGUG
rnacentral:rRNA from 1 species